UACGGGGGGAGCAAGCGUUGUUCGGAUUUACUGGGCGUAAAGGGCGCGUAGGCGGCCACCGCAAGUCGACUGUGAAAUCUCCGGGCUUAACUCGGAAAGGUCAGCCGAUACUGCGGGGCUAGAGUGCAGAAGGGGCAACUGGAAUUCUCGGUGUAGCGGUGAAAUGCGUAGAGAUCAGGAAGAACACCAGUGGCGAAGGCGCUCUGCUAGGCCGUAACUGACACUGAGGGACGAAAGCUAGGGGAGCGAAUGGG
rnacentral:rRNA from 1 species